UUCAGAUGCAAAGGACAAAUAUGCGCUUGUAAGAAGAAAUGAGGGAGCAGAGUGCAGUCAGAAGGAUUCUUCUGGAUGCUUCCUGCUGGUACUCUGCUUUGUGGAAGAUGAAGUCGAGCCUGGUGAUUGCAGAAAUAUACCAGUUACCUGAUGUGCCUUUUCUUGAGGAAGGAAUCUGAUCACUGGCCUGCUGCAAGCUAAGCUGGGAGACCAGGAACAACUGACCUUCAGCAUGAAUAUUGAUAUAAGAUGGGAAGAGAGAGUCCAAACCAGAAAUGCCUCUCAUUCAAAGAUGUUGCAUUUUGGAAACUCCCCGUCAGAGCAGAUCCCCAGAGUGUGUGGAAAUCACCAGCAACAAGACUCUUUCCUCCUUCAAAAAAAGGAGAAAGUAAUUCUCAAGAUGGAAGCACAGCACAUCUUUCUCAAGUUGAUGGUGUUUCUGGUUUUGUGUUUCUCAGCUGCAGCAGCUGAGAUGAUGAUGAAAAUGCAUUCCUCUGCACGUUUUGGUACAUCCAGAUGUAUUAACAAAUCAGAGUCCUUUUUGGUAACCUUAUAUACUGCAGCACUGGGGAUUUGUUUGACUCCUGCAGUUUUACCCUCCAUUCUCUCCAUCAUCCUUCAAAAAUUAAAG